GAUGAACGCUGGCGGCGUGCCUAAUACAUGCAAGUCGAGCGAACAGACGAGGAGCUUGCUCCUCUGACGUUAGCGGCGGACGGGUGAGUAACACGUGGAUAACCUACCUAUAAGACUGGGAUAACUUCGGGAAACCGGUGCUAAUACCGGAUAAUAUAUUGAACCGCAUGGUUCAAUAGUGAAAGACGGUUUUGCUGUCACUUAUAGAUUGAUCCGCGCCGCAUUAGCUAGUUGGUAAGGUAACGGCUUACCAAGGCGACGAUGCGUAGCCGACCUGAGAGGGUGAUCGGCCACACUGGAACUGAGACACGGUCCAGACUCCUACGGGAGGCAGCAGUAGGGAAUCUUCCGCAAUGGGCGAAAGCCUGACGGAGCAACGCCGCGUGAGUGAUGAAGGUCUUCGGAUCGUAAAACUCUGUUAUUAGGGAAGAACAAAUGUGUAAGUAACUAUGCACGUCUUGACGGUACCUAAUCAGAAAGCCACGGCUAACUACGUG
rnacentral:rRNA from 1 species